UCAACUGUGAGGUCCAGGCCAGUCUCUGCUUCCAAGUUACAGCAAGUUCGUUACCUCACGGGGCGGCUGUGCGAAAUGGUGCCCCCCAGGGAGGUUGACCCCACUUCUGGUGUGGACACAGCUCAGUCUCCAGGAGAAUUCACAAGAGGCAGCUGCAGUAGAGGGACAGGGAAACACCUUUUUACUCCCCUUUGGAAGGGAGUUCAAGAAAGUGGCCUUAAUUUAGCUUCAAGUCUUUCUACUCUAGUAUCAGCCCAGGGGCUUCCUAUGAGCCACCUAUGUACCUAGUCAUCCUGGCCCCAUUGCUGUUCGGUUAGGGUGAGCUCCCCCCCCACAUUUAGUAUCACAUUUCUUCUCCUAGUAGCUGCUGUCCCCACAAGAAUAAGCAGCAGUUUGGGGGUGCAGGAUGUGGGGGGAAGCCCAGUUUAAGGCUUGUAUUGCAGCAUGGUCCUUGUAGAGGGGAUAUGCAAAUUACCCCUAGGCAGAGCUGGAGUAUGCAAACGAAGGAGUGUGUGGCCUGCAUUCCUGGGCUGCCCCUGUAGAGGGGAUUCUGCCCCAUAGCUGGACGGCACCUGCUGCCCCCCCUGGCUUGGGGGUCGCUGAUGGAGCAUUUCCUUGCAGAUCGGAGAGGCCGCGUCCUACACCCCGAGCAGGUUGGAGGAGACCGAGAGCAGGGACGGUGUCUCCUACCAGCGGGUCUGCCGGGCUCGCCCUGCCCCGCCCCCCAUGCGGGUGGAGCCGCGCCGCGCCAUCCACCCCCUGCCCCGCGGGGGGCCAAGGGGGGCCGGGGAGGGAGGCUCCCGGCGCUUCCUGCCUCUCUGGCUGCAGCUGCUGCUCUUUGGGGCGCUCACGGCCUUCCUGGGCUACGUGUACUGGGCCCUGCAGGGCGGCGCCGACGACAACCCAUUCGUGCUGCCCCCCGAGGAGUAAGGGGACCCCCAUCCUGCCUCCCUGCCCCCCAACACCUCCAAGGGCCCACGUCCUGUGUCUCAGCCCUCCCCAUCCUGCCCCC
rnacentral:lncRNA from 1 species